GGGGAGCUUCAGCGCCAAAACGGUGCCGUUUUGAAGCGACCCAAGAUCCGACCCAUUGGACCUCAAGGAUCCGCGUGUUUUUGGACCAAGGGUCUAUUUGCGACCCUGGUCCUUUGCAUUUAUUUUCUUUUAAAUUUACUCAUUUUUGUUUUCUUUUAAUUUAGCCCCAAAAUUUUGUUUGUUUUUUUGAUCUCGUCCCUGGCUCACUGAUGCACUAAAACGAUGGACAUGUGUCCGAAUUUGGGUUUUAUUCCCAUUUUGGUCCUCGUUAGUUGUUGCGCUUUUCAUUUUGGUCUUUUACUUGUUUACUUUAUUUUAAUUUAUCCUUUAAAUUUGGUUUGGAUUACGAUUAAGUCCCUAAAUCAG
rnacentral:lncRNA from 1 species